AUGACCCUGGGAUGCUGAGCUUUUGAUUCAGGCCACUCGGCAAAUGUAGAAAAACGAGCCUUGUAAUCCAUCAUGUCUGGAAAGCGCACAGCGUAGCUAUAGGUCCCCGGAAUAGCAACUGGCGCUGACGCCCACACCUCCACGACGUCUUCUCCUUCCGCAGUAAUGGGUUCAGGUGUUCUCUUUGACAUUGGACAGUUUGGAAACAGUAAUUGAUGAUGCCGCCUUGGGCUUCGGAUUUUACCCCAUCCGGACAUAAUACCGUCACAAUAUGCGCACUGAACUUCAUCCCCGGUUCCACGAUAAAACAUUCCGGCUAAGGCCAACCAAUCGCUACAGUCUUGUGUUGGGAAAAGUUUGACCAAUGGAAACCAUUGCUUUCCAUAAAAAGGCGGAGUUUUGGAGGGAUUUUAUGCGAAUCAAAAUCCAACACUUUGCAGUCGCUGUAGUCGUGAGGAUAUAAAAGGCUAGCGGUCGCUUUUGCAAUCAAAAAAUGGAUUUUGCACGCACUUUGGAGAUUUUGGGAGAGCUGAACGGAUACAUCAUCUAUAAGGUCAACAAUGUGGUAAGUAUGUUUUGGAACACGAAAAAGGUCAGUCUUGUUCUAGCUUUUGAUCAGGAAACAGACGGUUACAAAGAUCAUGAAGAGGCGUUCCGGAAAGGAGUGCGUCUGGGAUGUAGUGAAAUUUCGGACGUCCUGAAUAAGUUGAAAGCGGGAACUAUCCAAGCAGCGAUGGACAAGGCAAUCACAAGCAAAUCUGCGGAAAAGGUCACUCUUGCCGGAC